rnacentral:rRNA from 1 species
AACGAACGCUGGCGGCAGGCUUAACACAUGCAAGUCGAGCGCCCCGCAAGGGGAGCGGCAGACGGGUGAGUAACGCGUGGGAAUCUACCCAUCACUACGGAACAACUCCGGGAAACUGGAGCUAAUACCGUAUACGUCCUUCGGGAGAAAGAUUUAUCGGUGAUGGAUGAGCCCGCGUUGGAUUAGCUAGUUGGUGGGGCAAUGGCCUACCAAGGCGACGAUCCAUAGCUGGUCUGCGAGGAUGAUCAGCCACACUGGGACUGAGACACGGCCCAGACUCCUACGGGAGGCAGCAGUGGGGAAUAUUGGACAAUGGGCGCAAGCCUGAUCCAGCCAUGCCGCGUGAGUGAUGACGGCCAUAGGGUUGUAAAGCUCUUUCGCACGUGACGAUGAUGACGGUAACGUGAGAAGAAGCCCCGGCUAACUUCGUGCCAGCCGCCGCCGUAAGAC